GGAUCCACAUGCAAAUCACCUUGGGUUCUCCCAGAAGAAAUCGGCAUCACAGGCAGAGGCCAGUGUGCUGGGUCUCCAACCUGCAGACAGCCAUGCAGAUACUGUGGUCCCUCCUCUGCCUUCUGGCAGCUCCUCUGGGUGUCCUGUCUCAACUUACACUUCAGGAGUCAGGCCCAGGACUGGUGAAGCCCUCACAGACCCUCUCUCUCACAUGUGUUGUCUCUGGGGGCUCUGUGACCAGUAGUUACUAUUGGAACUGGAUCCGCCAGCGCCCUGGGAGAGCAUUGGAGUGGAUGGGGUACUGGACAGGUAGCACAAGUUACAACCCGGCUUUCCAGGGCCGCAUCUCCAUCACCGCUGACACGUCCAAGAACCAGUUCUCCCUGCAGCUGAGCUCUGUGACCACCGAGGACACGGCCAUGUAUUACUGUGCUAGAGGCACACUGAGGAGACAUCAGUGUGAGCCCAGACACAAACCUCCCUGCAGGGUCACAGGAGGGGCUGGGCUACAGGUACCCCCAGAAUCCACCAGGGGGCACUCAGGACUCUGGUGGCACUCAGGUCACCUUGCAGAGCUCAGGUCACCAGGGGGUGCUCAAGAGACAAGGGGCGCUCAAGACACAAGGGGACACUCAUGUCACCAUGGGGCGCUAAUGACCCACCAAUACAUUUUCAACACCAGAAACAGGUGCAGUUAGAGAUUAAAUGCAUGCUUCCAGUCACAGUUUGGUACUUCCUUUCCAUAAAGUAGUUUCCUCAGGGGCCUCUCUAGAAUUAUAAUUUGAUUUUACCACCUACAUAUGUGAAAAGAAAAGUUAGGUGUAAUAGGAGAAAACUAUAUUUCAUGUUCAAAAGGCAGAACAUCACUUGCACUUGCUUAAUCUUUCCCAAAUUGAUGAUUAAUUAUAGAUAUUCUGAUUUAUGUCCAUGAAGUUUGUAAAAAGGUUCAGCUGUACUCAACACAACACCACACAGCCCAGUUUACAAGCUAUGAGCCUGCAUCAUAAAGUUCAUGCUAGACAUCAGGUACAGGUGCAUCAUGAAGCCAAAGCCAGAAAACAAUGGCCCCAGUGCAGGGGAAUCAUUGUGUGGACACCAUGUUCACAGCUUCUAUUUAGUUGACAUCAUCCAGAAACAGAGGGACCCCAACCAAGCUUGGCACAGUUGGUGAAUCAGAUGAUCCAACACACACAUAACAAGAGAAUAUAAAAUGCUUAUGGACCUCGGGGAAUGCCACACAGCAUGUCAGAAAUGCUUUAAUAAAUCCAGGAAAGGAUAUGAA